GGCAUUUAACAGAUGCGAAACAAUAGUAUCUUAGUUGCAGGGAAAGAAUAAAAAAUCUGGGUGUCCCCUUUCGAUUCAGAACUUGUGGGUCUGCGGUAAUCAACGUCCCUGGCUCAUUAAUGAUGAAGGUUCUCUCCUCCUCCCUCAGUGCCCUCAUUCCUAUAAUGUAAACAGCUACUAAGAGCUAGUAUUCCUCUUUGUUCAAACAGACAAUGGCCUUUAUAACUAAGAAGAAAAUUAGUAUCAGGUGAAAGCCCCAUUUUAGGGUGCUUAAAGCUUUUCCUUUUUUCCAGAAGAACAAAGUACAACAGUAAUCUCAAGAAGAAUCCACAACGUUUCGAAAGCAACAGGACAAAGUUACCGUCCUGAAAGUCAUCCGAACAAGACAGACGAGCUGAUCCUUCGCUGCCCGGCGUUGCCAGAAUCCGAACAGGAACAGCGUUAUCCUUAAGCACGUUACAUUUCCUUCUGGCUUGUGCAUUCAAGAUUUGGAGUUAGUGAAAUGAAGCAACUCAGAGAAGCAAUUAUCCUUCGUGUCUUUAAGGCACAGAGACUGACAUGAGGUGCUGGGAAUACCGAAGGAAGAGACGCGGUCCCUUCCCUUAAGGAAACUCAAGAAGUCAAACACGGGACUCCAUCCGGCUCCUAGAUAAAUGCCUGAGGGAACGGAACGCACGUCCCGGCAAAGGCUGGUGGCCUUCUUCACGGCAGCCCCAGUCGGAAGCGCCUGUAGACUACAUGACUGAAAUGUGGUAUAUCCACACACUGGAAUAUUACCCGCCCAUUGAAGGAAUCAGGUACCCAUCUGUCCCCAAAGAACAGUAAGUACAGCGUCUGUCGCCGAAGGACAAGGCUCCAAGGCCCGGGCAGAAUUUCCUCCCUCCCCCGCCUUUCCCAGGCUCACCCGUGUCAUUGAAGAUAACUGUCCUCACCCCAGCCAGCAGGGGCUGCCCUCACCUCCUUGGGGUCUCUCCCCAGGAGCCCCUGUCCGGGCUUGAGUGACUGGGGACUGUAGCCUGGCCCGCGGUGCAUCCGAAAGCCAUCCAGAGCCCGUCGUGUUUUCCUCUUUUAUUGUAGUUAUGCUUCCCACUCCUGAAACUCUGAUGGAUGCUCGCGGAUGCUCGCGGAUGGGGGAUUUAGUGUGGAGCCAGGUCGGCGGUUCCUCUGAUCUGGAGACGGACGUUCCGGCUGGCCGUUUCCCGUUUCUUGUGAGACUGAAACAAACAGGAGAAUGAAAGAAAUCGUUAUUGGCGCUUGACAAGAGACAGGAGGUCGUGAGGACAGAAGAGACGUGGAGGGGAUCUAGGGGAGGCAGCCUGAGAGGCGUCCCAUUACGCCAACCAGCCUGCGGGUAAAAUUUGCUCACGGGCUAACAUGCCCCUUGCGAUGGUUAAUUUUGCGUGUCGACUUGACUGGGCCAUGGAGCCCAGACAUGUCAGCAGCCAUUAUUCUGGAUGUUUCCGAGAGGGUGUUUUGGGAUGAGGUUAAUCCUUAAAUCCAUGGGCUUUGAGAUUACUUUCAUAGUGUGGGUAGGUGGGCCUCAUCCAAUCAGUUGAUGGACACCUGACUGCCUCCAAAGAAGGAAUUUUGCAGCAGAACAGCUUUUGGACCUGAGCCAAAAACAUCAGCUGUCCCCUGGGACUCCACCCUGGCGGUCCACUCUAGACUGUGGCCUUGCCAGCCUCCACAAUUACGGGAGCCAAUUCCUUAAAAUAAAUCUCUUUCUAUAUAUACA